rnacentral:rRNA from 1 species
GAUGAACGCUGGCGGCGUGCCUAAUACAUGCAAGUCGAGCGAACGGACGAGAAGCUUGCUUCUCUGAUGUUAGCGGCGGACGGGUGAGUAACACGUGGAUAACCUACCUAUAAGACUGGGAUAACUUCGGGAAACCGGAGCUAAUACCGGAUAAUAUUUUGAACCGCAUGGUUCAAAAGUGAAAGACGGUCUUGCUGUCACUUAUAGAUGGAUCCGCGCUGCAUUAGCUAGUUGGUAAGGUAACGGCUUACCAAGGCAACGAUGCAUAGCCGACCUGAGAGAGGGAUCGGCCAUACUGGAACUGGGACACGGUCCAGACUCCUAAGGGAGGCAGCAGUAGGGAAUCUUCCGCAAUGGGCGAAAGCCUGACGGAGCAACGCCGCGUGAGUGAUGAAGGUCUUCGGAUCGUAAAACUCUGUUAUUAGGGAAGAACAUAUGUGUAAGUAACUGUGCACAUCGUGACGGUACCUAAUCAGAAAGCCACGGCUAACUACGUG